CGAAUUCGAUGGAAACAAGAAGAUGGCCAGCGCCUGGAGAAGGUACGAAGAUGAUAUCUUGCUUUUCCAUUUUUUUUGUCUUCUCUCUGUGUUUUUUUUUUCGUUUGUGAUCUCUAGAAGUCUAGAUCAUGAAAAGUACAUAUAUGUUUAAAUAAGGAACGAUGAUUAACUGUUAUAAAAGACUUGCAGCAGCCUUGCACGUUACGCACGAUGCUCCAUAAUCAGUAAUCAUUAUACACUUAUCCAUCAUUGUUCACAGUCACAGAUUUACUUUAUAGUUACCAUUUACAAUUUUGUCAUGACUUUAGUGAUAUUUGAAAUCAUACUACUAUAUAUGUAGAUAUUUCAGAUCAAGAUUAGCAGAGAAAUCAUAUCUAUUAAUGGAAGAAUAUAUCUGAUAUAGAGAAUAGUGUUUCAAGAGUAAAUAAGGAAAAUGAAAAAGAAGAAGCUACAUUAUGAGAUACUAACAAAUUUACAGUGAUCAUUUAAAGAUAAUAGAAGUUUAAAUCCCCCUAUACAUUAAAAGAGAAGUCACUUUAGUGAUUUCUGAUGACGUGUCGCUCAUAGGUGAAGUUUCAAAAAAAUUAUUAUAAUUUGAUUGGUUGAUUGUUUUUAAUUUUUAUUUAUUUAAAUUAGAUCUAAAAAUUGAAGGUAAGUCUAAAAAUAUUUAACAUCACUUGCCAUAUAAUCUAAAGAAUAUUACAAAUAACAAUUUAUGGCAACUAAAUCUCGAAAUUAUAGAAAGAUUAAUAAUGUUAUAUUUUAUUACUUUUAAUAUUUAUAAACUAAAAAAUAUAAUGAACAAAUUUUUAUGUAAUAACUAUUUUAAAUAUUACAAAUAUAAUUAAUUGAUGAAUUGAUGAAUUGUAUUCAAAUAUAGUUUAAUAUUCUACUUGAUGAAUUGUAUUCAAAUAUAAUUAUAUAAUAACUAUUUUAAAUAUUACAAAAUCCAAACAUGUUUAUUAAUAUGAUUUUUAAAUUAUUUAUCGUUGUUUACAGAAUAAAUUUAUCAGAAUUUUAAAAUUAUUUAUAUAAUGUUAUAAAUUAUUUAUAAAAAUAUAAAUCCUACUAUAUAUUGAAUGAGAAGUCACAUAAGUGAUUUUUUAUUACGUGUUGAUCAUAAAUGAACUCUUCAAAUUGUUAUAAUUUGAUUGACCGAUGAUUUUUAAUUUUAUUUAUUACAAUUAUAUCUAAAAGGAAAGGAUAAUUCAAUUACCACUUUCCAAAUAAUCUACAUAAUAUUAGAAAUAAUUAUUUAUGGUAACUAAUUGUUGAAACUAUGAAAAAUUAAUAAUGCGAUCAAUUUUUUUAUAUUUUUAUAAAUUACAUAAAAUAAUACACAAAAGUGUUUAUUUGAAUUGAUAUAAUGAUUUUAUAUUCGUAUAGAAAGAAUUAUAUUUGUAUAUAAAGUAUCAUAAUAACUAUUAAUGUCUAAUAGUUCAAUGCAUGCUUUAUAAAUCAUUUAUAAAAUUAUAAAUACAUUUAUAUAAUUAUAAAUACAUUUAUAAAAAUCAGAUGUUUUAAAUUAUUAUAAGAGGUUCUAAGUCAUUUAUAGAAGCUUAUACAUUAAUUUAUAAAAUGUAUUUUGAAAAUUUAUCCUCCUAUUACAAUAUUUUGAAUUUUUUUCAUUUUAAUGGUAAAAUUCUUCAACUAUGUUUACUUAGUGUAGAAACCCCUAAACUAAAUAUUUACUGGUAGUAAUAAUAAUUAUGACCUAUUAGAGUUUAAUUCAUUAAAUAAAGUUAGUUUAGGGGUUUUUCGUUAAAUACUUAGUUUGAGGGUUUUUGCCCAAACAAACUUAAUUGGGAGCGUUAAAAUUUCUUAUUCUUUUCUUAUUAUCUAUUAUUUAAAUCCUUAUAGUAGAAUUUGUUUUAUCAAAAACCAGUUUCAAUCAACUGACGAGAUAUCUUCUUUCCUAAUAUCAUACAUUUAAUAUUUAAAUAUAUAUAUAUAUAGCAAGAUUUGAGUUAUCAAAAUUAUGUAUAUAUUAUAACCAGAAUAUUUUAAAAAAUUUAUUAGAAGAUAUUUUAUCUCAUAGCUGAAUUAAAAUUUAUUAGAGGAUAUUAUAUCUCAUUGCUUCUCUUGAAAACUAGGUCAUUUAGAAACUUAAACUAAUUUGCUAUAUAAAUAUCGCACCACCCAUUUUAGUUUCACGCAUCUAUCUUUUAAGUUUUCAUAUGUUUUUGAUCGUUAUAAUUUAAAUUCUACUUUUGUGAUCUUGCGCAGGUAUAUGAUAAUCAAUAAGUAACUUAUAGACGGAAACACCAUUACUGGUAAAUUUAUGGGGGAUUCUUCUUUUCCGUUUAUUUUUGUUCUCUUCCUCUCCAUGUUAUAUCUCUAUCUAUAUUUUUGCAUCAGUAGUGAUUCAACUAACAAAAAGAGACGACUCUGUUUAUCCAGGAACUGAUCAUUCCUUUCGAAAAAGGUAAUUCUUUUUUUUAUAAAGUUAAAUCACUUAUCAAGAAUAUAAUAUAAGAUAUGUAUGCUAAUCAAGUACAAUUUAUUUAUUGUGUGUGAUGGUACGUCUGAGAGCCAAAGGUAAUCUCAAAGCUUUUUAAAAUUUUGAAACUCAUUGAUGUUGUCCUAUCAAUUAUAUAAUUUGUUAUCUUUAAAUAUUUUUGUUAGAAUUACCUCUUUUCUGACUCAAAACUUAGAGAAGAAAACCGUAAAUCAUCUAUGCUGUUACAAUGAAACCAAUGAUAAUAAAUCUCAUGUAAUUUAAAUCUCUCUUUUAUAUUUCAUGGCUGAUUUUUUUAUUGGGGUUAUGCGUGAAAUAUUUAUUUUUUCUCAAUUAUAUUUUUCUGAUGUUUUAAGAUUAGUGUUAAAUGUGAUCGUUUUCUAAACGUUCUAAUGUAUUCUUUGUUCAUAUGAACAUAGUAUAAAUAUCAAUAUGUAACAUUGAAUCUUUCAUAUUAACCAUAUACAUGUAACAUAAGUAUUAUAUAGUUGUAAAUAUAAUAUCAAUUUAAUAUUAAUGUUAAUGUCUGCACAUGCGUGCGGACGGUCCACCUAAUAAUUGUAUUAAAUAUAUUAACAUUAUUUAGUCAAAAAACUCACUUAAAAUACUCAAUUACGGGGACGCUAUGAAUGUUUUAUUAUUUGAUCAUGGUUGUCACUUGUCAGAGAGAAUAACAAUACUAAAUGAAAACUUGGCGGCAAUUGUACCAGGAGACAAAACCGAAAGAGAUACGUCCCCACCUCUUGAGGGAAAAAGCUAACCACUCUCACCGUGGAAAAGCUACUAGACCCACUGCAAUUCAACAACUCAUUUUUGGAGUUUCCUCAUUGUUACCACACACCCAGACGAUAACGAUAAGUAAAUUUAUUAAGAGAC
rnacentral:lncRNA from 1 species